rnacentral:rRNA from 1 species
GUUGAUCCUGCCGGAGGUUACUGCUAUCGGGGUUCGAUUAAGCCAUGCGAGUCAAAUGUUCUUCGUGAACAUGGCGAACUGCUCAGUAACACGUGGAUAAUCUACCCUUAGGUCUGGAAUAACCCCGGGAAUCUGGGGAUAAUACCGGAUAGAUCAUAGAUGCUGGAAUGCCCUAUGUUCUAAAGCUCCGGCGCCUAAGGAUGAGUCUGCGGUCUAUCAGGUUGUAGUGGGUGUAACGUACCUACUAGCCGACGACGGAUACGGGUUGUGAGAGCAAGAGCCCGGAGAUGGAUUCUGAGACACGAAUCCAGGCCCUACGGGGUGCAGCAGGCGCGAACACUUUACAAUGCGGGAAACCGCGAUAAGGGAACCCCGAGUGCCAGCACCAAGUGUUGGCUGUCCAGAUGAUUAAAUCUCAUUUGUUAGCAAGGGCCGGGCAAGACCGGUGCCAGCCGCCGCGGUAACACCGGCGGCCCGAGUGGUAGCCGUUAUUAUUGGGUUUAAAGGGUCCGUAGCCGGCUUAUUAAGUCUCUUGGGAAAUCUGGCGACUCAAUCGUCAGGCGUUCAAGGGAUACUGGUAGGCUUGGGACCGGGAGAGGUGGGAGGUACUCCAGGGGUAAGGGUGAAAUCUCGUAAUCCUUGGGGGACCACCGAUGGCGAAGGCAUCCCUCCAGAACGGGUCCGACGGUGAGGGACGAAAGCUGGGGGCACGAACCGGAUUAGAUACCCGGGUAGUCCCAGCCGUAAACGAUGCUCGCUAGGUGUCAGGUGCGGUGCGACCGCAUCUGGUGCCGUAGUGAAAACUUGAAGCGAGUCACCUGGGAAGUACGGUCGCAAGGCUGAAACUUAAAGGAAUUGGCGGGGGAGCACCACAACGG